rnacentral:rRNA from 1 species
CCUACGGGGGGCAGCAGUGGGGAAUAUUGCACAAUGGGGGAAACCCUGAUGCAGCGACGCCGCGUGAGUGAAGAAGCGUUUCGGCGCGUAAAGCUCUGUCAGCGGGGAAGAAACACGGUUCGCGAGAGCCGCGGACGGUAACCGACCAAGAAGCCCCGGCUAACUACGUGCCAGCAGCCGCGGUAAUCCGGAGGGGGCAAGCGUUUACCGGAUUCACGGGGUGUAAAGGGAGCGUAGACGGCGAGACAAGUAUGGAGUGAAAGGCCGGGGCCAAACCGGGGGAGUGCGCUGGAAACUGCCUGGCUGGAGUGCAGGUGAGGUGAGAGGAAUGUGUGGUGUAGCGGUGAAAUGCGUAGAUAUUAGGAAGAACACCAGUUGCGAAGGCGGCUUACUGGACUGUAAUUGACGUUGAGGCUCGAAAGCGUGGGGAGCAAACAGGAUUAGAUACCCCUGUAGUC